AUGACUAGCUACUGAAUCCUUGGUGUGUCACCGAGGAUAACGUAAGGGAAAAUAAUGAUAUUACCUUACUAUUAGUGUCGUCCAAGUGCUCGUGCCAGAAGACUCGGUAAGGCGAGAGACGCAAACGUUAGUCGUCCUGAUCAGGCGUAAAGGGUGUGUAGGCGGAUUUAAGUGUCUAAUUUUUAAGUUUACUAUUUUGAUAAUUAAAUUUCUAUCUGAAUUUUUUUUUCAAUGACAAAUGUAAAUGGGGGAAUAUAAUACAUUUACAAAGAUAGUUUAACCUCCAUAUGCUAUGCGCUCCUGCCCUUCCCUUUUCUGCCGCUCCCUUUUCCCGUUUCCCCUGCACACCUACGGUAGUGCUAACGCAAAGCACGUUAGGGGAAUGGAAAGGGAAAGGAUGCACGAGGGAUACGGGCUUGUAACGCAACGCUCCUUCUCCCAUACCCACUUAUUGUGCGGUAUAAAAAAAAGGAGCCGGUGAAGGUAGGAAGUAUAAAAAAAUUUAAAUUACAAAAUUUUUAAAAAAAGGAUCAAUUAAAUCUAGAAUCUAAAAGAGGUUAAAACAAUACUUAAGGUAGAGGUAAAAAUUGUAGAUAUUAAGCAGAGUGUUAAGGGCGAAGGCAUUUUUCCACUAAAGAUUGACGCUGAGAAACGAAGGUGAGGGCAGAAAAAAGGAUUAGAGACCCUUGUAUUCCUCACUGUCAACGAUGAAUGGUAGUUACUAGAGAGUUAUGAUCUAGAGACGAUGUUAACACGAAAACCAUUCCCGCCUUGUGAGUACGACUGCAAAGUUGAAAACAAAAAAAUUAGUCGGUUUCGGAGCAAACGAAGUGAAGCUGUAUGUU
rnacentral:rRNA from 1 species